rnacentral:rRNA from 1 species
UACGUAGGGGGCAAGCGUUGUCCGGAUUUAUUGGGCGUAAAGAGCGUGUAGGCGGUUAGGUAGGACCGUUGUGAAAACUCGAGGCUCAACCUCGAGACGCCGAUGGAAACCAUCUGACUAGAGUCCGGAAGAGGAGAGUGGAAUUCCUGGUGUAGCGGUGAAAUGCGCAGAUAUCAGGAAGAACACCCGUGGCUAAGGCGGCUCUCUAGUACGUGACUGACGCUGAGACGCGAAAGCGUGGGGAGCGAACAGG